AGAUUGUCAGUAAAAUAUCCUCUAGGAGUCCCACAAGUGUAAAGAAAGGAUUGCACAAUGAAUUAGGGCCCCAAAGUAAAACAAAAACAAACAAACAAAAAACACCUGCACUAGAAGAUAACAUUCAAGCUCUCUUCUAGCCCUGAUGCAUUAUUACUCACAGAGCCCCCGAAUUCCUGAAUUAUCUGGGAAGUCUCUCCUGCUAAUCACUCUCUCUGGUUAUGUUGAAACGCCUGUCGUCUGCUAUAGGUGGGAGAGGAGCUCUCUCCUGCAUUCCAAGAAAGAGCUCUCACACCUCUUCCAGGGCCAUAUGUGGCCAGGAUCCCCUGGGAUACCAACAGUACACAUGGUUGCCAGAGAGUCUAACUUUGUGACUCAGAAAUUACCAUCUGUUAAACAGCUUUUAAUUGAAGCUUCAAGAGGCAGAAGCUGGCUGGAAAAACCUUGCAAGUUGAUCCAAUAGGAUUAUCUUCUCUAAAAGUGGUUUUUCUAUGUUUAAUUAGUUGGAAACCAUUUUGUCACAGAUGGAUUAUUCAUGUGUCAGUCCUUUUGGUGCCCUGUCCCCUCCCCACCAUAUUUGAGUCCCACAGAUUCUUUAGUUAGUAGCAGGCUCUGAUUUUUUUUUUUUGAGGGUACACUGCCCGUCCUUUCAGGAUCCAGUGUUACAGAAGCCUUUUCUCCACCACUCAGGAGACAGGUCAGUCUCGGCAAGCCACCUUCCAGCUGUUUGUUCUGCCAUGGUUCCAGUGAGCGAGGGGCACUGCGGUACAAGAGAAUGUCCAAGAGCACCCAUGGGUCUGAGCUGCAGAGCUACGGAACCCUUGAACCAUGGCCUGUAUGGUUUCCUGGUAGUUUUGCUAAGCUCAUCCCAGAGGUGUGCAAACGAGGGAUCAGUAGGCUGAACACUAUCCCAGACAUGUUUUGUUUAGUUUACAUGGUGUUUGAAUAGUUUUUGAGGAAGUCAUCACCAUUUUAAAAUGGGAAGAUUAAAAAUUCUGUACUUCUUAGCGUCUCUUAAAAAGAAAAGAGACAGAGGCAGAAGGAUCUGGUGACACUAGGCAAUAAAUCAACACAGGCAAUGCGUUCUUGUCAUAGUCAGCUGGAGGUUAGAGCUUUAAACUGGAUUUGUAGUCUCCUGUUUGCUUUAGUCUCUACCGCUCCCUAUUGCCUUACAUGCCCGGCCUGCUUCACUUGAGCAUUUUACCUCCUGGGUCUGUAGCAAUCUGGAUUGGUAACCUAAUGCUCUGACAGGCUUCAAAUAACAAUUUUCAAAUACUAGCAUCAAAAUCCUCUAAGGUGCUUGCCUGAGGUGCUGCCCCAGAGAUCUCAUUUCUGUGCAUAAAGGAGGCUCAGGAUUUGCAUGUAAGCCAGCAGCCGGGAGGGAUCUGAUGCAGGUGGUUUUAUGACCAUAGUUUUAAAACAGUGUCCCUAGAAUGGAAGUUCUCGGAACUGGCCACACAUGUAAAUGACCAGGCAGAGACCUUACAAUAUAUUCAUCUUUUACCCCAACCUAAUUAAAUCCUAAGACACUGGAGCCAUGGCCCAGCAUGGUUACUACUUCUUCAUUUAUUUUUUUUAAAUUC